CCCCUCCAUGUCUUCUUCCCCAAACUGCAACAGCUCAAACUCCAUGGAAAACUCCCAUGUGUUGCAUUGUCCUUGCGCACAAGCGCUCUCGGUGCAGAGCCGUGGGACCGUCGCUGCAUGCCCUCUUCCCCAAUGUUGUCGAAUACAUUUCCGGUGAGCAACCUUUCUUCUCUGGUGGUAUUUUUCAUUUUUUUAGUCUGUAGCCGUCGCAGUCCCUCAUCACGCCCUUGCGCGUGCGCAUGCCAAGCUACAGCCACCCAUGGUCGGCCAUGGCUGCCCAGCCACCACGCCCCACUGACCUGGCCACGCGCGUCGCAUUGGCGAGCGCCGCCACACCCGCUGCUGGUUGCCGACGCUGCCCAGCCCCACCUCGUCGCUCCUAUCGUGCGCCCCGUUGCGAGCGCCUAUAAAGCUUUGCAUCGCUGCCGUGGCCAUCCUGUUGCGCGCGUGCCGUUUCCCCCAGCAGGGCGUGCGAGCCGCUCCCACCCGGGCGUCCCCCGGUCGAACCUUCCCCAACUGCGCUGCUGCAAGGUCGGUCGUCGGCGAGCCUCACUGCCAUGCGCGGUUACAAGCAGCGCUUGUGCCAUCAACGAAGAAGAAACCGCCGCCUGGGUUCCACGCGCACGCAUGGCACUGGCAUGCAGCAAUGCCUCUAGCCCUCCUGCCCCUCCACGAUCUUCUGCAUGCAACAAACAAAUAGAAACUGGCAUGUGUGCCCCACUUCCUGUUUUCUUUCAUGCACAUAUUCUGCAUGCGACCAAGCCAGGAACGACUCUCCUCCCCACACAAAAUUCCACUCAUUUGGUUUCUCUAUGGCAGUUCUCCAUGUGGCUUCCUGUGUGGCUCCGGGUUCAGCCAAUAGAAUCGUGUCACGUCGCAUUAAAUCUGUGGUUUAGUAAAUACACGUUAACUUUUGCGUUAGGCGUCUAAUUUAUUCUGUUCCAGGUGUAGCUUCGUAACAAUGUCGUGUGCAUUCUAAAAAUAUUAUCGCACCAUGAUGUUUUAAUUAAUUAAUUAUUAAUUUACCCGAUGAUUAUUGAAAUAGCAAUCUAAGUAAAACUUAUUUCUAGUUUUAACUUGCGCUUAUAAAUAAAUGUUAAUAUGAUUAAUACCCAUGUAAAUACUUUGUAUUUAAUACUCCCUUAGUGUAAAUAUGACAUCUAUUUAGUAUUUCUCGCGUAUCACGCAUAUUGUUCCGCACAUAGUUGUGUCCUCGUUCGCACACCGUUUUCGCAUGUCGCGCGCAUUGGCAUGUGUCAUUCGCGUGUAUCGCGCGCUGUCCGCACGCGAUAUUAAGUCGUUCGCUUAUAAUCACUCAUGCCAGUUAAUUAACUAUUUAUUUAGUCGUCUACCGUUAAUAUUGUUAGUUAGUCAAAACUAAGUAGUUUUUUAACUUGCAUUUAAUACAUAUCAAUUAACAUGGUUAUAUUGAAUUAAAUAUUAUAACUCAUACCCACUUAGUGUAAACGCGAUAACUUCUCGAGCGUAGCUCCGACUAUCGCGUUUCUUUUUCCUCGCGCGACUGUAGUAACACGCUCUAUUUCGUUGUGUAUAUUUUAUUAUGUUUUAUUUGAAUGGUGUAAUGUUCUUACGCAUAUACAUAUAUUUGUUUGUUUGUUUGUUUGUUUGUGUCUGUUGGUAUUCGUUGUGCGUCGCAAAUAGUUUGCGAUCCGUUUUCGAGCUUCGAGGGAUCGAAGAUCAAGAGUUGGUGACCAAGUGAUCUGGCUCUUCGAGUUCCACGAAGCUGAAGACCCUGAGCAUCUAUUUGGUGAAGGCAAGUGUCCUCUGACCCAUUAUGUCUCAUUUACUUUAUAAUACACUGCCCCGCAUACUAUGAACAACCUAAGGAUUUACUAGCUUUCUAUUUAUCUUGUCCUUGAUUUACCUUUUGGGUUACUAUGGUUAGCUACAUGCUAGCGCUUUACUUUAAUCAAUGAACAUGAUGAGAUACAAUGAUGAUACUAUGAUUUUAUUCUGGAUAUGAUGAUAUACUUGUGGCAUUUAAGGGGACUCGGGUUGUUUCCCGAGUACCUCUCCGUAAGGACCUGUUCGUUGAGAGACCACCCGGGAUAACAGUGCAACCAUGAGGAUGAAAUGGGAUGCCCUUAGCUAAUUAAUUAGAGGAACUAGAGGGUAGUUGCUUCGCCGUCGUGCCGUCAAUGGGGUCCAGGCACAGUGCUUGCUCUGCCGAGGCUGAGUGCCGAGGUUCUUUCGUUUUGCUUUUGUUAGUCACCCUCCUGCGGGGAGAGGUACUGUGUUUAUCAAACUGGAGAAACCUAACGGGCGGCUAUGACCUCUAGGGAAUCUUUGUAAAAGCUACGUAGUGAUACCCUGCCGGACCACCUAGGAAGUGAUCAAUGGGGAGUCAUGAUCCCCGGGCAAAACGGGAAUCACGGCUCAUGGGUAAAGUGUGCGACCUCUGCAGAGGGUAAGGAAACUGAUAUAUCAGCCGUGCUCACGGUUAUGAGCGGCCUUGGGAUCCUCUUUGAUUAGAGAUACUUGAUUAGAGAUGAGGAGGAGGAGGAUGGUUAUGAUUAUGCUUAUGGUAAUGGUAAGUGGUAUUCCUUCCGUUUGGAAAGGGUACACUGGGUUAAUAACUUGGGUUAAUGUUAAAACCUGGCUCUCUACUAGUAAUAAUUACCUGACCAACUAAAAGCAACUGCUUGACUCUAACCCCACAUAAAGCUAGUCCACUUCAGCCAAACGGGACAUUUGCUGAGUACGUUGAUGUGUACUCACCCUUGCUUUCACAAAACACCAGGUUGCCUUUGGUGCAAUCUAUGCUCAGGUAAAGAAGGUGUCGAGGCGGAUCUCCAGGAGUUCCAGGACUUCGACGAGUCCGAGGAUUAGGCUAGCGACCUCCCCCAGUCAGCUGCCUGUGGUGGGUUGUUUACGUUGGCUACGUUUCGAUUCUGUGUACUUUGAUUUAUAUUAUGUAAAUGGCUCUAGUCUGUAAUAUUAUUACUUACUCUUUAUUGUAAUUCGAAGCAUUGUGCUAUGAUGAGUCAUUUAUGUAAUCGCUGUGUACGUGAAUAACUGAUCCUGGCACGUACAUGGUUCGCAUUCGGUUUACCUUCUAAAACCGGGUGUGACAUAAGUGGUAUCAAAGCCAGGUUGAGUGUAGGACCGCUGACCUAGAGUAGCAUUGGUCGUUUUAAGGACUUAUUGAUUUUUACUUCAUCUCAUCCUUGAUUCCGCUUCAAAAUAUUAGUCACCUCGACUAAUUCUAUGUUGUGCUCCUAUAUGCCCCCUUGCCAAAAAGUAUUUUAUUCUAGUAUGGUCUAUACUUCUCUCAAUCUAUUAGAUCUGAUCUCAUCUUGUGCUUGCGACAUCUUUGUAGAUGCCCCCUGACCAUAGCCUUUAGUCUUUUGGGACUCUUUCCUCGUCCAUUAUUAAAUUGCUACCAUUUGACCAUCUCUAUUCCAUUUUGUUAUUGACAUGCUCAUAUCCUUGCAUUUUUAAUAUCCUUACCCCUUAAUCUAAAGUACUUACCCUUGUACCUCUGUUGCCUAUUUAAAUAGUUCAGUUUAUGUGUCCAUGACCUUCUUGUCUUCUGAGAUCCUUUCUUAUUCUGUUGUUAAGUCGUUAUCUUUCAACAACUUCUAUUCCCUUGGUCUUAGUAUGCUCAUAUCCUUGGAGUCUUGCAUACUCUCGUAUUUUUAUGUAUGCUUAUCUUCAUACCCCAAUGUUUGUUUAAGACAUUUCAGUUAACAUGCCCUUGACCACCCUUGCUUCUUAAUGGUUCAUGAUCGACCAUUUUACUUUGCAUAUCCUUGGUGAUCUCGUUGUCUCCUUGUAACUUCACUUGGUAAUGAAUCUUUACUUCAACUCUUAUGUUGGAACCUUACCUAUCUUAGCCUUGAUUGUUUUCUCCACUUUGUCGUUUCGCGAGUCUUGUCUCAACUAUAUCCUUUGUUAUGCUUUUUAAUUAUUAUCAUAUGCACCCUUGACACCUCUAUAUCCUAUAUUGAUGUUUGUCUCAUACCUGCCCUUUAAAAUCGCCCCUCUUCCGUCUCAUACCUUCUUUCUCUUGGCUGUAUCCUCUUCUUUGGCUCGCGAGUUUGUAACCUCAUCCUUUGUUGUGCUUUUGCUUCUUAUUGCCUUUACCCUUCUCAUCUCUCGAUCUUACCUUGGUGAUUACGCUAUGUUCGUUAUCUAAAACCUCCAAUCUCCCACCUUAGUUCAAGCGUGGUCUCUUACUUAUCUCACCCGUGGUUAUAUCCUAUACUUUACCUCUUGCGAGACUUAUCUUAUUUCUAUUCUUGAUUGUACCUAGAUUCCUGGGUUUUUUAUGCACAUUUACCUCUUCCUUUAUAUCCUUGCCUAUUAUCACCUUUGACCCUUGACCUCUCUCCAUAUUUACCAUGAUGUUUACCUAUUUCUUAGCCUCACUUAUUCCAUUUCAAUCCGAGAGUGUUAUUUUCCCUACUCUGCUCUUGUUCGUUUCCUUUCCCUUUGUCGCUUUGCAAGUCUUGUCUUAACUCAAUCUUUUGUUGUGCUUUUGCCUGUUACCUCUUGUACCUUUGUAACCACUAGAUCUUUCCAUGAUGCUUAUCCUAUGCCUACCGUUUGAAAUAUCAUCUUUCCCAUCUCGAUUUGCGAAUGAUGUUUUACCUAUCCUGACCUUGGUUGCAUUCUCUCCCUGUUGGUUCCAAUCUUUACUUUAGCUCCAUCCUUUAUUAUGCUCAUGCCCCUAUCCUGCAUGUUUUAUCGCUCCCAUUGUCUUUCGAUGGCCUUAGUGUAGUUUCCCCUUUGUAAGGAAAGACCACCAUCUAGUUAACAUUAACGUGUAGCCACGAGAUGCCUGUUGUUGUGUGCUUGUGCCGUUUGUCUUUGUGUGAUGACUGAUUUUCUUCUUUGUGAUGAGUGUUGAUGUGUUGUGGCCCUUGGUCCGCAAUGACAUCAGUUCACCAGGUUAGUGCCAUAUAGUUAAGUAGUUGGGUUCUUCCCCUACUCUCUCUAAUCUGUCUAUACUUACCUUUUCUCGCUAUUCUUUCCUCUUGCACCUGUCCAUUUGGCAACCUCCAACUCCUUCAAAUCAGUCAAGAUCAGAGUCGGUAGCACCUUCAUCAAGUGCGUAUCAACGCUCCUGUUAAGGGGGUUAGUCGUUAACCCCAAUGAAGACAAUGUGAUCAACAUCAACCAACAAGAUCAAAGUGGCGCAGUGGAAGUGUGUGUGGGUCCUAACCCACAGGUCCAAUAGAACCUCAAGAAUCGCAUCGAUCGGUCUCAAGCAUCUGAAAGUCAAAGCAAACCAGUCCCCAAGUUAAGCUUGUAGAGUCAAAGUCAACUCAAGAAAGACGUGGACAACCUAUGAACCAACCUUGUUUUCUUGCUAGCCUCUCCUUGAAUCUCGAGGGCGAGAUUCUGUUAAGGGGGUUAGAUUUGUAACACCCUGAAUUUGGGGGUAUAAAAUUUCUUUUCUAAAAUCCACUAAAUUCGGGUGUUACCCUCUCUUUUCCUUGCUUUUCUUUUCUUUUUCUAAAUAAUGGAGAGUUAUUUUAUUAUAUAUAAGUUUUUAGCGUAGUAAAAUAAAAUCCUAGAGAAGCUUUUGUUGUUGCAUUCAUGUCAUUGCAUAGUGUUUAUGAGUGCAGGGGUUUUCAAACUAUAUCGAAUUAUCUUUUUCACGUUUCCGAAAAACUUUCGGGAACCUUCGAAACGUUUCUUUGAGUAUUAAAUAUGAAUUUCAGUUUUUCUAAUAUUAAUUAAAUAACUAAAAUGUAGUAGUUGCGAAAACUAUAAAAUUUUGGAAACUAGACUAUAUAUAUAUAUAUAUAUAUCUUCCUCUCGUCGAACCUGUUCCAGAUCUCGUGCCCUUUUUGCGAGAUCACCGAACCGCGUCUUCUCGCGAAUGGCAUGCUGCUCGCAUCGGCGAUCCUUGUCUAUCCCCGUCUACCCCUUCGGCGUCCACCUCGUCAUCUUGGGCCCGUGGGCCAGCUCUGACCGCCUUAGUCUAAUUUUAUCUAACCCUUUCUACCUCCGCCUAACUCAGUUUCUGUCGUAUACUUUCUCGCUCAAAUCGUCACGCAACCGUCUUUUUCGCUCGGCCAGAACGCAAUCCGCGGCAAAAUCGACAAGUGCCUCUCGCACCCUCUUCUCUAUAUACAUGUACCCCACCAUUGAAACCCCCCUCCAUGUCUUCUUCCCCAAACUGCAACAGCUCAAACUCCAUGGAAAACUCCCAUGUGUUGCAUUGUCCUUGCGCACAAGCGCUCUCGGUGCAGAGCCGUGGGACCGUCGCUGCAUCCCUCUUCCCCAAUGUUGUCGAAUACAUUUCCGGUGAGCAACCUUUCUUCUCCGGUGGUAUUUUUCAUUUUUUUUAGUCUGUAGCCGUCGCAGUCCCUCAUCACGCCCUUGCGCGUGCGCAUGCCAAGCUACAGCCACCCAUGGUCAGCCAUGGCUGCCCAGCCACCACGCCCCACUGACCUGGCCACGCGCGUCGCAUUGGCGAGCGCCGCCACACCCGCUGCUCCUAUCAUGCCCAGCCCCACCUCGUCGCUCCUAUCAUGCGCCCCGUUGCGAGCGCCUAUAAAGCUUUGCAUCGCUGCCGUGGCCAUCCUGUUGCGCGCGUGCCGUUUCCCCCAGCAGGGCGUGCGAGCCGCUCCCACCCGGGCGUCCCCCGGUCGAACCUUCCCCAACUGCGCUGCUGCAAGGUCGGUCGUCGGCGAGCCUCACUGCCAUGCGCGGUUACAAGCAGCGCUUGUGCCAUCAACGAAGAAGAAACCGCCGCCUAGGUUCCACGCGCACGCAUGGCACUGGCAUGCAGCAAUGCCUCUAGCCCUCCUGCCCCUCCACGAUCUUCUGCAUGCAACAAACAAAUAGAAACUGGCAUGUGUGCCCCACUUCCUGUUUUCUUUCAUGCACAUAUUCUGCAUGCGACCAAGCCAGGAACGACUCUCCUCCCCACACAAAAUUCCACUCAUUUGGUUUCUCUAUGGCAGUUCUCCAUGUGGCUUCCUGUGUGGCUCCGGGUUCAGCCAAUAGAAUCGUGUCACGUCGCAUUAAAUCUGUGGUUUAGUAAAUACACGUUAACUUUUGCGUUAGGCGUCUAAUUUAUUCUGUUCCAGGUGUAGCUUCGUAACAAUGUCGUGUGCAUUCUAAAAAUAUUAUCGCACCAUGAUGUUUUAAUUAAUUAAUUAUUAAUUUACCCGAUGAUUAUUGAAAUAGCAAUCUAAGUAAAACUUAUUUCUAGUUUUAACUUGCGCUUAUAAAUAAAUGUUAAUAUGAUUAAUACCCAUGUAAAUACUUUGUAUUUAAUACUCCCUUAGUGUAAAUAUGACAUCUAUUUAGUAUUUCUCGCGUAUCACGCAUACUGUUCCGCACAUAGUUGUGUCCUCGUUCGCACACCGUUUUCGCAUGUUGCGCGCAUUGGCAUGUGUCAUUCGCGUGUAUCGCGCGCUGUCCGCACGCGAUAUUAAGUCGUUCGCUUAUAAUCACUCAUGCCAGUUAAUUAACUAUUUAUUUAGUCGUCUACCGUUAAUAUUGUUAGUUAGUCAAAACUAAGUAGUUUUUUAACUUGCAUUUAAUACAUAUCUAUUAACAUGGUUAUAUUGAAUUAAAUAUUAUAACCCAUACCCACUUAGUGUAAACGCGAUAACUUCUCGAGCGUAGCUCCGACUAUCGCGUUUCUUUUUCCUCGCGCGACUGUAGUAACACGCUCUAUUUCGUUGUGUAUAUUUUAUUAUGUUUUAUUUGAAUGGUGUAAUGUUCUUACGCAUAUACAUAUAUUUGUUUGUUUGUUUGUUUGUGUCUGUUGGUAUUCGUUGUGCGUCGCAAAUAGUUUGCGAUCCGUUUCCGAGCUUCGAGGGAUCGAAGAUCAAGAGUUGGCGACCAAGUGAUCUGGCUCUUCGAGUUCCACGAAGCUGAAGACCCUGAGCAUCUAUUUGGUGAAGGCAAGUGUCCUCUGACCCAUUAUGUCCCAUUUACUUUAUAAUCCACUGCCCCGCAUACUAUGAACAACCUAAGGAUUUACUAGCUUUCUAUUUAUCUUGUCCUUGAUUUACCUUUUGGGUUACUAUGGUUAGCUACAUGCUAGCGCUUUACUUUAAUCAAUGAACAUGAUGAGAUACAAUGAUGAUACUAUGAUUUUAUUCUGGAUAUGAUGAUAUACUUGUGGCAUUUAAGGGGACUCGGGUUGUUUCUCGAGUACCUCUCCGUAAGGACCUGUUCGUUGAGAGACCACCCGGGAUAACAGUGCAACCAUGAGGGUGAAAUGGGAUGCCCUUAGCUAAUUAAUUAGAGGAACUAGAGGGUAGUUACUUCGCCGUCGUGCCGUCAAUGGGGUCCAAGCACAGUGCUUGCUCUGCCGAGGCUGAGUGCCGAGGUUCUUUCGUUUUGCUUUUGUUAGUCACCCUCCUGCGGGGAGAGGUACUGUGUUUAUCAAACUGGAGAAACCUAACGGGCGGCUAUGACCUCUAGGGAAUCUUUGUAAAAGCUACGUAGUGAUACCCUGCCGGACCACCUAGGAAGUGAUCAAUGGGGAGUCAUGAUCCCCGGGCAAAACGGGAAUCACGGCUCAUGGGUAAAGUGUGCGACCUCUGCAGAGGGUAAGGAAACUGAUAUAUCAGCCGUGCUCACGGUUAUGAGCGGCCUUGGGAUCCUCUUUGAUUAGAGAUACUUGAUCAGAGAUGAGGAGGAGGAGGAUGGUUAUGAUUAUGCUUAUGGUAUUGGUAAGUGGUAUUCCUUCCGUUUGGAAAGGGUACACUGGGUUAAUAACUUGGGUUAAUGUUAAAACCUGGCUCUCUACUAGUAAUAAUUACCUGACCAACUAAAAGCAACUGCUUGACUCUAAUCCCACAUAAAGCUAGUCCACUUUAGCCAAACGGGACAUUUGCUGAGUACGUUGAUGUGUACUCACCCUUGCUUUCACAAAACACCAGGUUGCCUUUGGUUCAAUCUAUGCUCAGGUAAAGAAGGUGUCGAGGCGGAUCUCCAGGAGUUCUAGGACUUCGACGAGUCCGAGGAUUAGGCUAGCGACCUCCCCCAGUCAGCUGCCUGUGGUGGGUUGUUUACGUUGGCUACGUUUCGAUUCUGUAUACUUUGAUUUAUAUUAUGUAAAUGGCUCUAGUCUGUAAUAUUAUUACUUACUAUUUAUUGUAAUUCGAAGCAUUGUGCUAUGAUGAGUCAUUUAUGUAAUCACUGUGUACGUGAAUAACUGAUCCUGGCACGUACAUGGUUCGCAUUCGGUUUACCUUCUAAAACCGGGUGUGACAGAAUACGUCUCGGUUAUCUUGCAGAAACUGGACGAGCGCGCUUUCCUAUUUGUCGUCCAGGCUGGAGCUGAUGAUGGUAGUCUUGCGUUCAUCAGCGAACCCCAGGUUGAUCCUUUUAGUUUCUUCAGUCGGCCGCAUAGAGGUCGCGGCUUGAGCUUCGUUUGCCGGUACUGCAAGGUCCUCCUCAGGCUUAGAGUUCGCCUGUGUUGAAGAAAUCGUCGACGGCUUGGUGGUGAGGGCCGCUUGGAUGGUCACUCGGAAACACUCUGCGGCGCCUUGGAAGUCGGCGCGCACAGUUAUGAUUCCUUGUGGUCCUGACAUCUUCAGUAUCAUGUACGUGUAAUGAGGAAUGGCCAUGAAUUUGGCCAAUCCUGGCCUCCCGAUGAUGGCGUUGUACCCGCAGUCGAAGUUCGCCACUUCGAACCUCAGAAACUCGGUUCUGUAGUUCUCCGGAGUUCCGAAGGUGACGGGCAUGUAGAUGUGGCCCAGCGGGUAUUCCCCUUCAGUCGGCACGAUGCCGAAGAAGGGAGUGUCCGACUCGUGGAGCUCUUUGAGGUGAACUCCCAAGCCUUAGAGUGUCCAGGGGAAGGUGACGUUGAUGCUGCUCCCCCUGUCCACUAGCACCUUCUUCACCCGGCUCUCUCGGAUCACCGAAUCGACGAGGAGCGGGUAUUUGCCUGGGUGGUCGAAGUUGAGCCAUUGAUCCGCCCGAGUGAAAGUGAUCGGGUGCUCCGACCACCGGUAUGGGGCGGGAGGACCGGUGGUCGCCACCAGUAUCUGGCGAUCGUUGAGCUUUUGUUGUCUUUUGUUCUCCUGCGACCCGUGUCCGCCGAAGAUGACGUUGACCUCCCUGUCAACGCGCGGGAAAGCUCCUCCUCCUCCCUCCUCCUGCUGAUGGGGUUGUCGUGGUUCUUCUGGUCCUCCCCUCGGCGAAGGAGGAGGUAGAGGUUGGAAGUGUCGGUCGUGCCCAACGGAGUGCUUGAAGUCCCGACAGUUCCGAAGAGUGUGGCGCAUGUCCUUGUGGUACGGACACUGGGCGUCGAGGAUGUCGUCCAGCGCGCGCUCGCCUCCGCGAGGUCCUCCUCGGGCGCGAGAGGCUGGUGGCCCGGCGGCGUGUACUUCUUCGCGGGGCCUCUUCUCCCAGCGCUUGUCGGGUUGCUGGUUCGCGUCGCGUCGUGGUGCCGCCGGUGCGGGCUUUGUUCCUCCGAUGAGGUCCUGGGCCUGCUCGUCGGCGGUGAUGUAGAGGUCGGCUUCCCGGAACAGCUCCUCAGAAGUAGUCGGUGCCUUCUGUAAUAUGGCUCGGACGAAGGCCGAGUCAUUGGAUCCCCUGUAGAAGUCCUCGAUCACGGCCGCCUCCGUGACCUCGGGGAUACGGUUUCUCAUGGUCUGGAACCUUUUAAGGUAUGACCGGAGAGUUUCGUCCCCCGGCGCUUGAUGGAUUUGAGGUCCCAUGGUUGUGCCGGUUUGUCGGAGAGGGACUGGAAAUUGGCGGUGAAGCGUCGACUGAAGUCGCCCCAGUCGUCGAUGCAGUGUCGGGGUAGAUGUCGCAGCCAUUGCAGCGCGUCUUGCCCGAGGACAAUGGGUAAGUACGCGGUCAUCACGUCUUCGGACGCCCCGGCAGCUCGAGCACGGUGGUGUAGACGGCUAGCCAGCCCCCUGGAUCCUGCUUAGGUUCAUAUUUGUCAACAUUGGAUACCUUGAAGUUAGGAGGCCAUUGAACGGCCCUAAGGCACGGAGUAAGAGCAGACACUCCACACGUGUCCUCCUGUCGUCGGGGAUGAUGUCUGUCCCGGGGAGGGGAGUAGUUGUUGUGGUUCCUCGACCGUCCCCGGGUAGUACCGCUAGUUGAGGCCGUUGCCGACUCAGUUCUGGUGGCCUAGCUCCAAGCUGGGAUGCCAUGAUCCCUGUCGUAUUCCUCCCGGCGGCGGAUCUCGUUCUCGUGUCGUCGUUCACGCGAAGCGUUGAUGGAGCUUCGCGCGUCUCGGCGACUGUUGAUGGCGUGUCGUAGAUCGUUCGGCGGGUGAGCAAGCGGUAGAAGAUGGUUGGCUGCCUGGGUGAACAGUCGUCGGUAGCCCUCGGCAUCGGGAGUCCGAGGGAGUCCAUCAGCUAUCCGAGCUAGUACUCCUCCAACUUCGCUCGGCGUGUUCAUGGCUCGGGCGAAGUCGGGAUUCAGGUUGCGCCCGAAGAAUGGAUUCUCCCGGCGUUGCCUUGCGUCUUGCUCGGCUUGUUCCUGAGCCCGGCGGCGAUCACGUCGUCGGGAGUUCCUUCGUUCUCUGAAGACGCGUUCCUCCGGAGUUUCUCCUAUCUCCGAGACCUCGUCCCGCGAGAUAGGUUGCUCCGGAUCCCGUUCUCCGGCCGCGUGAUGUCGCAGAACAUUCCGGCGCCGGUUUCUCCGUCGGCGGGAUUCUCGUUGAGGUGGUUCUUCUCCGGGUGCGGUUGGCUCGUCGUCGGAGACGGGAGGCGACUCCACUCUCCCGAUGAAGAGGACGUCGGGAUAGAAUGGUGCUGCUGUCGUGGCAACCUUCUUUCCGUUCUCCUUUGAGGGUGGAGGAACAGAAAGAACAACUUGCUUCCCCUUGGUCUCCUUCUUACUCGUGAUUUGUGUCCAUUCUUUUAUCGGGGAAGUAGACAGUGGAGUUCUCCGGGUCAGCGGGCUCUCGGCCCCUGACUUUCUAGAGACGAUCUUUUUCCGGAGAGCUGGAGGUUGCGCUUCUCUAACAUUUUCGGAGUUUGUUGGAGGAGACUUCUUUUUCGGCGGAUCUGCAACGCGGUGUAGAGUUCCCUCUUCAUCUGCUAUGGAUGAGAUUGUUCCGAAGCAGAAUACGGAUCCGGGACAGAGGGUGAUCUUGCUGUGGAAGGUGACGGCCAUUGAGCUAGCUUGGAUCAUCGACACACCCCCUACCUGGCGCGCCAGCUAUCGGUGUUUUGGGUCCGACCGCACACCCGGGGUUGCCCCUCAAGGUGUUUCUAGGAGCAGGACGGUGUCGACGACUGUAGCAAAAUGGUUCGUGCCAGAUGCACGAGGGACAGUGGACAAUGUUUACAGGUUCGGGCCGCUUAGAGAUGCGUAACACCCUACGUCCUGGUGAGUAUGCUUGGUGAAUGAGGUUACAAGGGAGCUCUCCGAAUUGAGAAUGCAGAGAGUUGAGGUGGGUGGCUGAGUAAUAGGGUCGAUCGUUCUGAAGGGGUGCCCCCUAGGCCUUAUAUACUCGACCGUGGGGCAAUACAUGUGGAUAUGAUAACAAUGUGUAGCUAAAAGAUAGUGAACUGUUUUAGUUUAUCUCCCUAUAGUUCUGCCGACCUAUCCUCGCAUGGCUCCGUUGCAUGGGGGCUCCGGCGCGGGAAAGUCGGAUCUCUGUUGUGGUCGCUCGCUCAACGUUGUGGGCCGUCAGGGCUUGCACUAAUCCGGCCUCAUGUCAAUCUGCUUUGCUGAUUGUCCCUCCCCAGGCCCACGAAAGAAUGACCUUACGAUUUAUUGGGCCCUUGGGCCUUUCGUGAGGUCUUUUACUCUUCUAGUGGACUUGGGGGAUAUCUGUCCCCCACAGUUACGACCCACGGCCCACGGGGCUGGCCGGCUGGCGCAUUGGGUGGGAGAAUAGGGUGAGAAUUAGUUGGUUAUGUCAUUCAUGUUUGAGUCAACAGAUUCAAGGUUCAAAACAUUAAAAUCCUUUUUUAUAAUUCGUUUUCUUUUCCAUAAUUAUUUUUUUCUUUUCUACAAUUCUUUUUUUCUUUACUACAAUUUAGUGAUCAAUGUUUACUUGUUUUAAUUAAUUUUUAGUCACUAACAUCUAUAUGUACGUUCGGGCUAUAAGAUUUGAUAGUGAUCCUUGCUCUAUAGCUACCCACCGCUAGUCCCCGACGACAUCUAUAGCGACCAACCAUAAGUUGUUAAAUUUAUAGACUUUUAGCGACCAACCGACCGUUGCUACAAAAGGAUUUAGCGACUGACCGUCGGUCCCUAACCUUUAGCAACCAACAGUUGGUAUCUAAUAAGGGUCGCUAAAGAUCAACCGUCGUGUAGUGAAUAGGCCGGCCCAAAGCACACAAUUUUUAGCACGACACAGAUCUGGCACGGCCCAACCUAAUUGUGGGCCUAGGCCGGCAUGGCCCAAUAUGUGGGUCGUGCCUGGGCCUCAAGUCAAGCCCAUGGGCCGGUCUGGCACGGCCCAUUUAACUAAGGCCCAUCGAGGCCCACUAAAUAUAGACUUAGUAUUUAACUAAGGCUCGUUAAAGCCUACAUGACCAGCACAAUUUGGAGAAUCUAGAGUUUCAAUAGGCCUUCGGAGAACCAAUACCUAGAUGGGGAUAGUAAAUAGUGAUGAUGAUCAUUGUAUAUGUAUUCUGUAUGGCUGUAUAGUACAUAGUUAAACACUGAACAUAGAACUAAAUAUUAUUUCUAACCUAGUUGUAAUAUUUUUUCUUUCUGACCAAAUGUUUUUAAUAUGCAUACACAAAACAUCUUAGUUUUAUUUUAGUCAUUUAUAUUCUAUACUUUUUGUUUUUGUAUCACUAUUGUAUGUAUAUGGACCGGUCUGGCACAUUAAGACAUUUAGGGCUAUUUGGGCUGGCCUGACACAUAUAACUAAUUAUGGGCCGUGUCGUGGGCCGAUGACAGGGCACACGUGCUGGCAAGGCACGACCUAUAAUUAGAUAUGUGCUUUUGUGUACCGUGCUUUUGUGGGCCUGUGCCGUGCCGGCUAGCCCGGCCCACAUGUACAGGUAUAUUUCGGUGAUGCAGGUGGUCUUUUAUUCUCUAUGGGGUUUCUAGAAUACAUCUUCUAGAGAAGCACUAUAAGUCUUGUCUUGGGCAUUGUACAUUUGUACCGGGGCUCGCCACUCUGCUACUUGGUACUCUCAAGCUAGGUGUACCCGUGUCCCAUUGUUUAAUCAACUUAAUCUUCAUGUGUUCUUGCAGCAAUUUCUGCUUUCCUGGCAUGGAAGUACAUGCUUAUUUCUUGGUAACUCCUUGUCUAACCUGUACGGAAUAUAUAGUGACCUUUCUGCUUUCCUGUAGGAAGAGGGAUUCGAUUUUGGAUCAACGUGGGUUGACCUUCCGUUCAGCAUGUUGUGUCAGCUAGUUUACAGUGAAAUUUUGACUGUCUUUCUAUGUAUACUAGAAAAAAAGCGCCCUAUCGGGCGCUGUAUCAAACAUGUAUACAUAGAAAUUGUACAUUAAAUAAAGUGAUCCCUCGUAAAAUACAUAGGUUGUUUAGACCCAGGAUUAGAUUGUUCUAUCUCUAGACGAUUAAUAUAUCCAUAUCAUAUCAAAAGUUGAAGCCUCUUGUACAACAUCAUGUUGCAAACACAAAAAAUGCAUACCCUUUUGAAGGAAGCACAUCUUCAGUCGAUGAUUGCAGUAUUGAAGUUUAGUAAAGUUUUCAACCAAAUGACCUGACAUCAUAUGUCAAUCAAGAAAUUAGCGAUGAUAAGAUAACCAAUGAUAAUCUUGUACCAACAGAUUCCCAUGAAAAAGAGCAUGUGAAUGAUAAUCUUAUUCAUGUGCCUGCAGAAGAAGAUGCAGUAUAUGGUGUCAUAAAUUUUCGCAUUUAUUUAGCAAUUACAAAUUUACUUAUGCUAGAUAUGAAGAAAUGUUAAUCAGACCCAAACAAGAUAAUAUAUCAAAUGGUCAUCAAAUGGAACUGCUGAUAAUUUUAAGACAAAGCGAUGAAAACAAAUGGAUCUUCAAUUGACACAAUAGGGUACUUGGAAACAAAGGACUUGUACAGAUCUUGUAGGCUGUCGCCUGAAAUUUUGUCUGAAUCAUCAUCAUUCUGGCCAAGAAAUUGAGUACAUGUUAAUAUAAAACUCAUAAAUUAUCAAAGUCCAAUAUAAUAACAUAGGGAAUAGCUAUAGCUACAGGUACAUAAAACUAUAAAAGCAUAAUAAGAAUUUGCAAUUCUUACCUCCUGCAUGAAAUUAAGAUCAUAAGUCUUGCUUGUCCUCACUGAAAAAUUCAGAAGCAGGAACAUCCAUUUUAAUGACCACCUGUCACACAGCUAAGUACAACGCAUUGGGCCGUCUUGGUUCCUAGAUCUUUUACCUUACUCACUUCAGUGUCUCAAUCAUUUAAUGGGCAGGUAAUUUCUCGCGAACGCAUUCAGCUAUUGACUGGUCGCCCAUAUCAUUCGAGCAGAUUGAGCUAUCCAAUAUCCAUUUAGCUCGACACAGUGAAGAACUGAAGAUACACAUUGGGCUUGCUUGUGUUCCGUCUCUCUCAAACAUCCUGUUGGUGUGCUGUGAAGGUCUGAAGGUCACAUAAUCCACUU
rnacentral:lncRNA from 1 species